rnacentral:tRNA from 1 species
AAGAAAUUAGUUUAAAUAAAACAAUUAUUUGUCAAAUAAUAAAUAUAAAUUAAAUUAUAUUUCUUG